AAACACACACACACACACGCAUGUACCCAACAUCUGCCCUCCACCUGUGUACUAUUUCAUACUGGCCCAAAAACUUGCCUUUUGAGUGGAAGUGCCUAGAAAAGUGUUUGUGUGUGUGUGUGUGUGUGUGUGUGUGUGU